GUGGCACAGUGGUACGAUUUAACAGAUGAGACCAAUUAACGUGGCCUUUGUAUGCUUACGUACGGCCUUUGUAUGCCUUCGCACUUGUAUGUCUGCAUCUGCAUGCUGAUAAUGUCACCUGUAUAGCACAGUGCAGUGGGUAGAAGAUGUGUCUAUGUAAUGUUAUGCGAUAUACGCUCUGUACUUGCUAUCAUUUCCAGCAAUACCAAAUGCAUUUUGGACGGGUUGUAACUGUCAGUGCACGCCAGCUGAAUAUGUGCCAAAGGGUAGAAAACAGUUCGAGUAUGAACAGUUUGAGUCUUGAUGGGAAUUAAAAACACUGAAUUAAAUGGACUGAAGCACUGUUCCUCUAUGGUGAUCUUAAAUAUAGUGUUUCCUUGAUACGUUUUAUUAUUUUAACAUCAAAGACACAUUCCUGCAUGUUUUUCAUAUUUUAGCUUAUUACAUAGCAGGUUGCUUGAGAUUUAAAAGAAAAAAGAAAAAAAAACGACCUGCAUUUCAAACUUAAAAGAUGUAUAAAAGCUUUAUUCCUUUAAGAAAACGGGUAAAAGUGUAGUUAUUUAAAGAACCGUCAUAGAACAGUAAGGGUCGCGUUACGGUUUCUUUAUAUUCUGGUGAAGUGUGCGUCUUUUAAAUGAAUAUUAAUACCCCUCAGAAACGUCACUCAAGGGUGUGUCCUCAAGGGUACCUCUUUUGUACCUUUUUUAAUAUGCAUCUUUCACAUGGAAAUGUGGUUGUGGUGUACCUUUUUAAAAAUAAUUUCCGGUACAUAGAUUGGUUAUUGGCGUUUUUAAAGGUGCACUACAUGCAUCAUUUCUAGGUAAACGAUACACACUGAAGGUAUACAGGGGAUAUAAAACUGGCCGGACAGAACCUUUUCUGCUUUUAUUGUUAAAUUUCAACCUAUAAAUUAAAGUGAAAAUCAAUACGAAUCAUUUUAUGGAAUUAUUUUAAAAUUUUUUUUUAAAACCCAUAACAAAUGUAAAAUAACCUGGUUGCAUAAAUGUGCACACCCCUACCCUAAAACUUAGUUGAAGGACCUUUUAGAUUUUAUCGUGACAGUCAAUCUUUUUGGGUAAGCGUCAAUCUUUUUGGGUAAGCGUGAAUCAGUUUUUGGGUAAGCGUCAAUCAGGCACAUCUUGACUUAGCAAUAUUUCACCAUUAUUCCUCACAAAAGCAUUCAAGCUAAAUCUUCCACAAAGUUUUGAUUUGGUUUAGAUCUGGACUCCUGAAAUUCCUCUUCAUCAUCAAGCUUUUGUGGCAAAAUUUACUGGUAUUUGGAGCUCUUUAUUAUUUGCUCCACUCUGAUUGAAACCCCAGUUCCAGCAGAAGAAAGGCAGCACUAAAGCAUGAUGCCGCCACCACCAUGCUUCACCUUGGGGAUGGUGUUCUUUUGGUGGGUUUUUUAUUUUUUUAUUUUUUUCCUUCAAAUAUAUCUUUUGGUAACCUGCUAUUAGAACAGGGAUGAGUAGACUUUUUUUAAUAUCCGUUAUAAAAAGAUGUACCCUUGAUGUACCCACUCCGGUGACGAGGAAAGGUACAGUUUAGUACCGUUUCAUCUGAGAGUAUAUGUUCACUUUGCUUAGAUAUAUGCUGAUUUAAUUGCCUUUGUGUUUGCAUUUUAUUUAUUUUAAUUUUUUUGCCUUAAACAUAUUUUCUCACAGCAUGGGGAAAUUUCUGUUCACUGUGCAUUGACUUCUGGAUGAAGAGGUUUCAUGAUGUGUGUGUAUGUGUGUGUAUCCGAAGUGUUGAAUUGUAUCUGUUUCAGUUUCAAACGGUUUAUCACAAAAAAAAAAAAAAAACCAUAUCAGAAACAUAUCACUGUGCUUUUUCUAUCCAUUCCAAACAGAUUUGAGAUCAUCUUAUGAGGACUAACUUUCUGGAAGUAUAUAUUAAGCGAUUUAUAUUUUUGUAGAAGUGUGCCAAUUUAUCACAAAAUGUUUUGAAGCAAGUGUGUUAAGUUACGGUUCCUUGGGAGGAAACCAGAGAAGAGUAAGCAGAUUUACAGUCUGUUGAUGCUGUCACUGAAAAUCUGUAUUGCAGCUGUUCUAUUAAAGAUACUCUUUGCACUUUAAAUGUGUUUGUUUCAGUUGUGGUUUUAAACUGCCUGUGUUUUUGUUAAAAAAAAUCUGAAUGAACCAACUUUUACCUCACUUUAAUGUUAUC
ensembl:lncRNA